rnacentral:lncRNA from 1 species
CUAUACUUUAUAGGUGCUUAUCUGAUAUUUGAGCCAACCUUAAUUCUCUCUUCAGAGCAUGUCUGAUUCUUUCCCCUGGCUUGGAAAAUACAGUGACUCAACUCUCAGUCUGAGAAGAGUAAGCAAUCAUACUCUAACACUUCAGAAGAGAGAGAGAAAAACUGCUUGCAACCCUAUAAAGAUUAUUAAAUCUUUUGGAGAGAUUUAGUGAAGAUGAUGCCAAAGAAAUAUCCUGGACUCACCUCUGGUGAACACAAAUCUACAGCCACAUAAGGAAUGAUGCUCACUGAAAAGAAUCUGAAAGCUAGCUGAACAGCACCUCCACAACAAAGGAUGAAAGGAUCACAUUGAGACAGGUAGGAAGAGCAGAGACAUGGUCUUGCAAGAAAUCUCACCCCAGGCUCUGCAACCCACAGUU